UACGUAGGGUGCGAGCGUUGUCCGGAAUUAUUGGGCGUAAAGGGCUCGUAGGCGGUCUGUCACGUCGGGAGUGAAAACCCAGGGCUCAACCCUGGGCCUGCUUCCGAUACGGGCAGACUAGAGGUAUGCAGGGGAGAAUGGAAUUCCUGGUGUAGCGGUGAAAUGCGCAGAUAUCAGGAGGAACACCGGUGGCGAAGGCGGGUCUCUGGGCCGAAACUGACGCUGAGGAGCGAAAGCGUGGGGAGCGAACAGG
rnacentral:rRNA from 1 species